GACAGAGGAUGCAAGCGUUAUCCGGAAUGAUUGGGCGUAAAGCGUCUGUAGGUGGCUUUUCAAGUCCGCCGUCAAAUCCCAGGGCUCAACCCUGGACAGGCGGUGGAAACUACCAAGCUGGAGUACGGUAGGGGCAGAGGGAAUUUCCGGUGGAGCGGUGAAAUGCGUAGAUAUCGUUUGGAACGCCAAAGGUGAAAACAGACAGCUGGGAGUGUGCUGACGCUGAGACACGAAAGCCAGGGGAGCGAACGGG
rnacentral:rRNA from 1 species